rnacentral:rRNA from 1 species
AGCGAACGCUGGCGGCUGGCCUAACACAUGCAAGUCGAACGAACCUUUCGGGGUUAGUGGCGGACGGGUGAGUAACACGUGGGAACGUGCCUUUAGGUUCGGAAUAACUCAGGGAAACUUGUGCUAAUACCGAAUGUGCCCUUCGGGGGAAAGAUUUAUCGCCUUUAGAGCGGCCCGCGUCUGAUUAGCUAGUUGGUUGAGGUAAUGGCUCACCAAGGCGACGAUCAGUAGCUGGUCUGAGAGGAUGAUCAGCCACAUUGGGACUGAGACACGGCCCAAACUCCUACGGGAGGCAGCAGCGGGGAAUCUUGCGCAAUGGGCGAAAGCCUGACGCAGCCAUGCCGCGUGAAUGAUGAAGGUCUUAGGAUUGUAAAAUUCUUUCACCGGGGACGAUAAUGACGGUACCCGGAGAAGAAGCCCCGGCUAACUUCGUG